rnacentral:rRNA from 1 species
UACAGAGGGUGCAAGCGUUGUUCGGAUUUACUGGGCGUAAAGGGCGCGUAGGCGGCCACCGCAAGUCAGUUGUGAAAUCUCUGGGCUUAACCCAGAACGGUCAGCUGAUACUGCGGGGCUAGAGUGCAGAAGGGGCAACUGGAAUUCUCGGUGUAGCGGUGAAAUGCGUAGAUAUCGAGAGGAACACCUGCGGCGAAGGCGGGUUGCUGGGCUGACACUGACGCUGAGGCGCGAAAGCUAGGGGAGCGAACGGG